GCCUGGGUGGCUCAGUCAGUUAAGCAUCCGACUUCGGCUCAGGUCAUGAUCUCACGGUCCGUGGGUUCAAACCCCACUUCAGGCU
rnacentral:tRNA from 1 species